rnacentral:rRNA from 1 species
UACGUAGGGUCCGAGCGUUGUCCGGAAUUAUUGGGCGUAAAGGGCUCGUAGGCGGUUUGUCGCGUCGGGAGUGAAAACACGGGGCUUAACCCCGUGCCUGCUUCCGAUACGGGCAGACUAGAGGUAUGCAGGGGAGAACGGAAUUCCUGGUGUAGCGGUGAAAUGCGCAGAUAUCAGGAAGAACACCCGUGGCGAAAGCGGCUCUCUGGAACGGUACUGACGCUGAGACGCGAAAGCGUGGGGAGCGAACAGG